rnacentral:tRNA from 1 species
CGCGGGGUAGAGUAGCGGUUACUCAGAGGCCUCAUAAGCCUUUCACGUGGGUUCGAAUCCCACCCCCGCUACCA